rnacentral:lncRNA from 1 species
CCGGUUUCCUAUAUUAAGAAGAAAUAGAAUUAUCCGGCAAGGCCUAAAACAAAACACCUGAGAGGAGAAGCUUAGAUAAGGAUCAAAAGCAAGGGAACCCUCAACUCAAGAUCAGUUAAGUCAGCGGGAAGUCCUGUGCCCCAUGAAUUACCUGCCAUCAAGAUUUGGGUGUCGCAUUCUUUCGAAUCUUUCUCUUUUUUUCAUUAGAUUGGGGCGGAAGAGAUCAAACCCGCUUUCAAUUGCAUUAUUUUAGGCUUUUAUAGUAGUUUCAUCCCGAGUAACGUCUAGGUGCCUUAAAACACUAAAAAUAAGGGUUUCUGCUACUUCCAAUUGACUAGCUGCCCUGGUAGAGCGGAGCCUUUACUAUAAGCUUGUAGAUGCAAAGGGAUAUGAAGCCUAAUCUCAUCUCUUUAAGAAUUUCUAUGGCCAGCCCACUAGAUCCAUUCCGGUAGAGUUGAAAACAUUCCUUCCCAUCUAAGACCAAUUUCCGGUAUCAACUGAUUCUUUAUGAUUUGGAUUCAACUUCAACUCUCAA